UCUGACCAGCCAUGCCGCGUGCAGGAGACUGCCCUAUGGGUUGUAAACUGCUUUUAUAUAGGAAGAAACCCCACCACGUGUGGUGGGCUGACGGUACUCUACGAAUAAGGACCGGCUAACUCCGUGCCAGCAGCCGCGGUAAUACGGAGGGUCCAAGCGUUAUCCGGAAUCAUUGGGUUUAAAGGGUCCGUAGGCGGGCAAUUAAGUCAGAGGUGAAAUCCCACAGCUCAACUGUGGAACUGCCUUAGAUACUGGUUGUCUUGAGUUAUAGUGAGGUGAAUAGAAUAUGUAGUGUAGCGGUGAAAUGCUUAGAUAUUACAUAGAAUACCGAUUGCGAAGGCAGA
rnacentral:rRNA from 1 species